rnacentral:rRNA from 1 species
GUGCCAGCGCCGCGGUAAUACCGGCAGCCCGAGUGCUGGCCGAUCUUAUUGGGCCUAAAGCGUCCGUAGCUGGCUGCGCAAGUCCGUCGGGAAAUCCACUCGCCCAACGAGUGGGCGUCCGACGGAAACUGCACAGCUUGGGACCGGAAGGCUCGAAGGGUACGUCCGGGGUAGGAGUGAAAUCCUAUAAUCCUGGACGGACCACCAAUGGGGAAACCACCUCAGGAGGAUGGACCCGACAGUGAGGGACGAAAGCUAGGGUCUCGAACCGGAUUAGAUACCCUUGUAGUCC